rnacentral:rRNA from 1 species
CCCGCUGAACUUAAGCAUAUCAAUAAGCGGAGGAAAAGAAACUAACAAGGAUUCCCCUAGUAACUGCGAGUGAAGCGGGAAAAGCUCAAAUUUAAAAUCUGGCGGUCUCUGGCCGUCCGAGUUGUAAUCUAGAGAAGUGCUAUCCGCGCCGGACCGUGUACAAGUCUCCUGGAACGGAGCGUCAUAGAGGGUGAGAAUCCCGUCUUUGACACGGACUACCGGGGCUUUGUGAUGUGCUCUCAAAGAGUCGAGUUGUUUGGGAAUGCAGCUCUAAAUGGGUGGUAAAUUCCAUCUAAAGCUAAAUAUUGGCGAGAGACCGAUAGCGAACGAGUACCGUGAGGGAAAGAUGAAAAGAACUUUGGAAAGAGAGUUAAACAGUACGUGAAAUUGUUGAAAGGGAAACGCUUGAAGUCAGUCGCGUUGGCUGGGGAUCAACCUUGCUCUUUUGCUUGGUGUACUUUCCAGUUGACGGGUCAGCAUCAAUUUUGACUGGUGGAUAAAGGUCAGGGGAAUGUGGCAUCUUCGGAUGUGUUAUAGCCCUUGGUCGCAUACAUCAGUUGGGAUUGAGGAACUCAGCACGCCGCAAGGCCGGGUCUUUGACCACGUAACGUGCUUAGGAUGCUGGCAUAAUGGCUUUAAUCGACCCGUCUUGAAACACGG